rnacentral:rRNA from 1 species
AUUGAACGCUGGCGGCAUGCUUUACGCAUGCAAGUCGAACGGUAACAGGCCGCAAGGUGCUGACGAGUGGCGAACGGGUGAGUAAUGCAUCGGAACGUGCCCAGUCGUGGGGGAUAACUACUCGAAAGAGUAGCUAAUACCGCAUACGAUCUAUGGAUGAAAGCGGGGGACCGUAAGGCCUCGCGCGAUUGGAGCGGCCGAUGUCAGAUUAGGUAGUUGGUGGGGUAAAGGCUCACCAAGCCAACGAUUUGUAGCUGGUCUGAGAGGACGACCAGCCACACUGGGACUGAGACACGGCCCAGACUCCUACGGGAGGCAGCAGUGGGGAAUUUUGGACAAUGGGCGCAAGCCUGAUCCAGCAAUGCCGCGUGCAGGAAGAAGGCCUUCGGGUUGUAAACUGCUUUUGUACGGAACGAAACGGCUCUGGUUAAUACCCGGGGCUAAUGACGGUACCGUAAGAAUAAGCACCGGCUAACUACGUG